AAUUUAAGUAGUUAAAAUAAAAUACUGACUUGUGGUGUCGGAGAUGUGCAAAGUACCUUAAAUA
rnacentral:tRNA from 1 species